CGGGAGCGCGCCACUCGCCCGCGCAGCAACGGCCUCAAUAGCGCCAGGCCCGCGUCUACAAGAAGCCCGACCAAGGCCGGCGUGGGCGAGGCCUGGCUAGACGCUGACGCACCGCUGGAGCUACUGACCUCGGGACGACUGGCGGACGGUCGCGGGCCUGGAGACCCAGAGCGAGACGGCCUACUUCGUUCUCGAGCCAGCAGAACGGGUUGAACGUGUCGACAACCCCACCCGCCAGUCAGCGGCGCGGGCGUGUUCGAG
rnacentral:lncRNA from 1 species